GGGGAUUUAGCUCAAUGGUAGAGCGCUUGCCUAGCAAGCGCCGAGGCCCUGGGUUCGGUUCCCAGCUCUG
rnacentral:tRNA from 1 species